GUGGGGAAUUUUGGACAAUGGGCGCAAGCCUGAUCCAGCAAUGCCGCGUGUGUGAAGAAGGCCUUCGGGUUGUAAAGCACUUUUGUCCGGAAAGAAAUCUCCUGGGUUAAUACCUCGGGGGGAUGACGGUACCGGAAGAAUAAGCACCGGCUAACUACGUGCCAGCAGCCGCGGUAAUACGUAGGGUGCGAGCGUUAAUCGGAAUUACUGGGCGUAAAGAGUGAGCAGGCGGAUAUGCAAGACAGAUGUUAAAUGCACGGGCUCAACCUGGGAAAUGCAGUUGUGAGUGCAGGGCUAGAGGGCGUCAGAGGGAGGUGGAAUUCCCCGUGUAGCAGUGAAAUGCGUCGAGAGGCGGAGUAACACCGAUGGCGAAGGCAGCCUCCUGGGAUGACACUGACGCUCAUGCACGAAAGCGUGGGGAGCAAACAGGAUUAGAAACCCGAGUAGUCC
rnacentral:rRNA from 1 species